rnacentral:rRNA from 1 species
AGCUAUUGGAUGCUAGUCUAAGCGUUUAGGCAGUGAGAGUAGGCAAAUCCGCUCUCAUAAUGCUGAGGCGUGAUGGGGAAGGUUCCACGGAACCGAAGUACAUGAUUCCACGCUGCCAAGAAAAGCGUCUAGAGAGAGAAGUAGUGCCCGUACCGCAAACCGACACAGGUAGGUGAGGAGAGAAUCCUAAGGCCGGCGGAAGAAUUACAGUUAAGGAACUCGGCAAAUUUACCCCGUAAGUUCGCGAGAAGGGGUGCCUACGAGAGUAGGCCGCAGAGAAUAGGCCCAAGCAACUGUUUAGCAAAAACACAGGUCUCUGCUAAAGCGUAAGCUGAUGUAUAGGGGCUGACGCCUGCCCGGUGCUGGAAGGUUAAGGGGAACACUUAGCGAAAGCGAAGGUGUGAACUUAAGCCCCAGUAAACGGCGGCCGUAACUAUAACGGUCCUAAGGUAGCGAAAUUCCUUGUCAGGUAAGUUCUGACCCGCACGAAUGGCGUAAUGACUUGGGCACUGUCUCAACUGUAAAUCCGGCGAAGUUGUAGUGCGAGUGAAGAUGCUCGCUACCCGCGAUUGGACGGAAAGACCCCGUAGAGCUUUACUGUAGCUUAGCAUUGAGUUUUGGUAUUGUCUGUACAGGAUAGGUGGGAGACUAGGAAACCAGGGCG